CUUAAGCCCUACUGAUUCAAAAGGAACUUGCUCAGAGGAAAAGUCAUAGGAGAACACAGCCAGAAGAUGGCUAUCCACAAGCCAGGAGGCGGACUCUCACUAGGAGCAAACCUGUGAGCCUGGACUACCCACCUCCAGAACUUUCUAGAGGUCUGAAGUCCAAACUGUCUUCCACUGGGCUGAAGUCAAGGUGUCAGCAGGGCCAUAUUCCUUCCUUCUGGGUGUUCCAGAGGUGAACUCAUUUCUUUGCUUUUUCCAGCUUGCAGAGGUAACUUAUAUUUCUUGGCUCCACACCCCUUGUUCUGUGUUCAAGGACAGCAACACAACAGUGUAUCUCUCCGCCAACCCCCUGCCCUCUCUUUUAUAAGUUUCCUGUGCCUACACUGGACCCACCUGGGUAAUUCAAACUACUCUCCCCAUCUCAAGAUCUUAACCUAGUCACACCUGUAAAGCCCCUUUUGUCAUGUCCCGUCACAUAUUCCCUGGAGGUUCUGGAGAUUAGGAUACGGACAUCUUUGGGAGCCAUCAUUAAGCCUACCACAGUAAAAAUUAGUGGGGUGUCUACAAUAUAAUGCCUACUGUAAAGAAGAUAUUUAGUCUUCAGAAUUUCAUUGGAAAUCAAAAUAUUUACUGUUCACUAGACCAAUUAACUCCAGCUAGGUCAGAAUUGUUAGAGUCAAUUCAAAUGAAAACCUUUCCAAUUCAACUCCACAAAUGCAUUUUGGGUGCAAGUGUUAGACUGGAACGCUGAGAAAAUCCAACAGCUCUUUAGGUAAAAGGAGUUGUCAGGGUAAUUUCUUUCUAGGCUGUGGAUUUCUCCACAGAUGUUGCAAAUAAAUCAGGAAGAGGCUGGAGUCAUGGCACCUGUGUUUAGUAUUCUCCAAACUGUGCUCAGAGCUGAGAAACCGUAAACACUUUCUUCCAUCCCCAUUCCCUGUAAAGGAGUUAUGCAGCUGGUUUGCCCUGCAGUUCUGACUUUUCCAAAUUUUGUAACUUUAUGCCUUCAGACGCAGAAAACAGCCGAGGAGGCUGUGCCCGGUUCUUCAGGUGGCUGAUGAUCGCCCUCCCUGCUCCCCUGGAUGCCUCUCUCUCCGCGGAUGAUGAGUGACGUGUGGCGAAGGUGGAGCAGGUGUGCUGUGUCCGCCCUCGGCGUGUUGAAGCGUGACUCGGGGGAAGAAACUUGGCUUUUCCAUUUCUUACAGGAGAAGGGAACCAAAGGGAUGACAGACUCCCAUAGGAAAUGCACACACACACCUGUUUUUUUGGAUCUGAUGCUCUAGGCAGUUUCAGAAAACAAACCCCAGAGUAAAACCGUCAAUCCGAGAAUGCCUUCCUGCUGUUCAACGUUAGUCUCAGAAACUAAGUAGCACUUUCUGACCAGGUGCAGGAGAAUAUUUUCUUUUUCUCCCUUUUUCCUAAACACGAAACUAAUUUUUAUUACUUUCCUGGGCAAUAAAUUAUUCUUUUCAAAUCACAUUUGGAUAAAAAUAUCAGAUGACCCUGACAGUUUUUAAACAUAGAUAUUUCUCAUUCAUAAUCUUUGAAAACAAGAUCUAGUUUUUGGACUUUAUGUAUCUUCACAUAAGAUCUAGAUAUAAGUAUGUAAAUUAUUGCUGUGUAUAAUAAAUAUGUAGCCUACUGAGAAAUUAGCAUCAUUAAGAAGAGAACUACUUACCUGAUAUUUUUGUCUGCUUUUGGCAUACAAACAGUUGUGUGCUGGUAAAUUAAUAAUAAAAGGCUCUCUAGGGGAAGACAGCCCUAAUUUGUAAUGUUUGUAGCUAUCUAUGGUGUUAAAAAAUGGGCUUCCAUGGUAGCUCAGUGGUAAAGAAUCUGCCUGCUAAUGCAAGAGAUGUGGGUUUGAUCCCUGGGUCAGGAAGAUUCCCUGGAGAGGGAAAUGGCAAUCCACUCCAGUAUUCUUGCCUGGGAAAUCCCAUGGACAGAAGCCUGGGGAGCUACAGUCCUCAGGGUUAAAAAAGAGUCAGAUACAGCUUAGCAACUACACAGCUACAACUAAUGGUGUUUAAAAAUACUCCCACCAAUACCAAUUUUAAGCAACCAUCCUGAAGUCACUGAAGACAGGGAUGGGGAGAAAGGGCUCAGUUGUUUUUCCUGAGCUGGUGUAAGAAUCUAUAAUAUGACCUAGAGAAUUCAUAUAGAUAACAAUGGGAUAUUUCAGAACCCUGACUCUGAAAAUACUAUGUACAUUUUGCUAUUCAGUGAACCAUGAGGCUAUAUCAUAGAUCUGUAACCGAGAACAUGAUUUCUGACCUAGGAUGGUCUGGAUUCUUCUUUUCCUAGAUUCUGCUAAUAAUUCUUUGCUCUGUGUCUUAUCCUAGUUAUCCUGGGAGUCUGCGUUUUGCUUCAGGGGCUUUAGUAAAAAUCACAGGAUGCCCCAAAUUCUUAUUUAUGCAGUUAACACCAAGUACACUUUUUAUGUAUGGAGCUAUCUCCAAUUGCCCUGUGUGAAAGACUUGAGUCCUUUCCAAAAUCAGCUGGAAAUACAAGAUGCCUGUUUGUACGGAAAUUUCCUGAGACUGCCUCUUUUAACUUGCCAACCUGAGUAGUAUAUAUGUGAGUUACCCACUGGAUUUUAUACCCUGCAUUUUCUCUGAUUUGCAGUUACAAAACUUUUGCACUAAUGUACAAGGGUCUCUGUCUGCCUCCCACCCCAGCCUCAGUAUUGCCUUUAGACCUGGGGAGGUGGAUCUGCUGCUCUGGGCUCCUGAACCAAAGAUUUGACUGUAGCCAUCUGCUGGCUGUUUCCCUUCGCAUUGAGUUUAUGACCCCAGUUCUAAGACCAAUGUCUAAAUUCCAGAGAUACUGGAAUUGCCCACCCAACAGGCACCAAGUGUAUUGGAUCUGAAUUGGUAUCUCUGUCUUGUCCAUCUCCCAAAGGGCAGACUGUGCCCAAGAUUGUGAUAAAGGGAAGCUGUUGCUGUGAACAGAACUAUACAUAAGGGCUACGAUGCAGCCUAAACUUGAGCCAGGCUUUCUAGGUCAAUGAUGUGGGUUGGAAUGUGUUUCAUGCAAGCAUUUCUUGGCUUAAACAUUUAUAUAGUUAGACAUACAGUAUAUGGACCUCCAUUUGUACUCUUUAUCCUGCCCUGUGAAUAUUAGGGCAGGACCCCCAAACCACAGGGCAAACAGAAGAGUGUUCUCGUUUCUCCUUUAAGUGUAGACAAUCUACAUAAGGAUGAGGUUUUUAAGAGGGAAACAUUCUAGGGAAAGAAGCAUGGGCAUGUGGAUUCCUUUAUCAAAGAAUAGAAAGCUAAUGUCCCAGUGCCAUUGUCAGAGAGAAUGUAGCCAGCCUAGCCCCCGGGAGCUUCUGUGAAGACACACUUGGCUCCCUAGACAGCAAGGAGACUCAUCAAUGGCAGUAGCCCAGCUUUAAGAACAGAGAUCCACUUCUUCCCUCUUCACUUAACCUCCUGCCUCUCCCUCUACCGCUCUCUACCUCCUUCAGGUGUACUCAGGCGAGCUAAUCGCUGUCCUGGGGGAGGUGUUAGAGGCUCCCCCUAGUUGUAGACUCUGGCGUCACCCUAAUCUCAUCAAUUCUACCAUGGUCUGUCUGUUUCUUCCUUGAAGUGAACCAACCAGUGAACAUUUUAAACUCCUUUGGGUGAGAAGACUCACCUUCUGUGUAGACUGUGAGCUGAAAAUAAAU